rnacentral:rRNA from 1 species
GACGAACGCUGGCGGCGUGCUUAACACAUGCAAGUCGAACGGAAAGGCCCUGCUUUUGUGGGGUGCUCGAGUGGCGAACGGGUGAGUAACAUGUGAGUAACCUGCCCUUGACUUUGGGAUAACUUCAGGAAACUGGGGCUAAUACCGGAUAGGAGCUCCUGCUGCAUGGUGGGGGUUGGAAAGUUUCGGCGGUUGGGGAUGGACUCGCGGCUUAUCAGCUUGUUGGUGGGGUAGUGGCUUACCAAGGCUUUGACGGGUAGCCGGCCUGAGAGGGUGACCGGCCACAUUGGGACUGAGAUACGGCCCAGACUCCUACGGGAGGCAGCAGUGGGGAAUAUUGCACAAUGGGCGGAAGCCUGAUGCAGCAACGCCGCGUGCGGGAUGACGGCCUUCGGGCUGCAAACCGCUUUCGCCUGUGACGAAGCGUGAGUGACGGUAAUGGGUAAAGAAGCACCGGCUAACUACGUG